rnacentral:rRNA from 1 species
CCUACGGGGGGCAGCAGUGGGGAAUUUUGCGCAAUGCUCGUAAGAGUGACGCAGCGACGCCGCGUGAAUGACGAAGGCCUUCGGGUCGUAAAGCUCUUUCGACAGGGAAGAAAAUGCCUAUAAGUAACUGGGUAUGUAUUGACGGCACCUGUAUAAGCAGCCCCGGCUAACGCCGUGCUAGCAGCCGCGGUAAUACGGAGGGGGCGAGCGUUGUUCGGAGUGACUGGGCGUAAAGAGCACGUAGGCGGUGGUGUAAGUCAUCAGUCAAAGACUAGAGCUCAACUUUGGUAAGGCUAGUGAUACUAUAAUGCUAGAGUGUCAGAGAGGAUUGCAGAAUUCCUGGUGUAGCGGGGAAAUGCGUAGAUAUCAGGAGGAAUACCGUUAGCGAAGGCGGCAAUCUGGCUGGAAACUGACGCUGAGGUGCGAAGGCGUGGGUAGCAAACAGGAUUAGAUACCCUGGUAGUC